CUGUAGCCAAGGCAGCCUUCGGAAAGGCCUGGACACUGAUCAGCCGGUCGUGCAGUGCUACGACAAAACACCGGCAGCC
rnacentral:ncRNA from 1 species